CUUCUGGGCCGCGUUGGGGAUGCUGUGGUCCCCGGCGUCGCGGGCGUUCAACCUGGACGCGGACGGGGCCACGGUGUACAGCGGCCCCCGGGGCAGUUACUUCGGCUACGCGGUGGACUUCCACCUCCCUGACGCUCGCACGUAAGUCGCUCGCGACCCCGCGCGGUCCCCCAGCCGCGGUCCCGUCUCGCUCCCCGCGCGCCGCCAGCCUCGCUGCCGGUGCCCCCUGGAGGUGACUGUGAGCCUCGAACCAGACUCGCCUCUUGUAUAGAAUUCCCAGUUGCAAGGGUUGUGCAUCAUACAGGGGACCCCAGACUCAAGCCAGGCAGGGCACCGGUGUUUGCACUGCGCCUGCCUCGGCUGCAGCAGCUGGGCUCUGUCCUCCGCUUCCCCUCUUGCUUCUGAUCUCAGUGUAUGCACACAGCCCCACCUACAGAAGAAUCGGGUCUCCCCAACCCCAACGACGGUCUACCCUGUAACCCCUGCUCCCCUCUGGGUGGCCGCGCCGCUGCAGACCACGCUUUUGUGACCCCCAAGGAGUGACUCUCGCCCACCCUUUCGCAGAGCCAGUGUCCUGGUGGGGGCCCCCAAAGCCAACACCAGCCAGCCGGACAUCGUGGAAGGGGGAGCCGUGUACUACUGUCCUUGGCCGCCCGAGGGGUCUGCGCCCUGCAAGCAGAUACCCUUUGACACCACCAACAACAGAAAGAUCAGAGUUAAUGGAACUAAAGAACCUAUAGAAUUUAAAUCGAAUCAAUGGUUUGGAGCAACAGUGAAAGCUCAUAAAGAGAAAGUCGUGGCCUGUGCACCUUUAUAUCACUGGAGAACUCUUAAACCGUCACCAGAAAAGGACCCAGUUGGUACCUGCUAUGUAGCAAUUCAGAAUUUCAGUGCAUAUGCUGAGUACUCCCCUUGUCGGAACAGCAAUCUUGAUCCUGAAGGCCAGGGUUACUGCCAAGCAGGAUUUAGUCUGGAUUUUUAUAAGAAUGGAGACCUCAUAGUAGGUGGACCUGGAAGUUUUUACUGGCAAGGUCAGUUGAUCACCACCAGUAUUGCCGAUGUCAUUGCAAAUUAUUCAUUCAAGGACAUUCUACGGACACUGGCUGGAGAAAAGCAGACAGAAGUGGCUCCUGCUUCCUAUGAUGACAGCUACCUUGGUGAGAUCCGUCACUCAAGAAACUUGUGGUUUCCUAAGAGACAAACAGAUUAAAUGGAGAUGCAAAUUUGAUUCCUGACUUGUUUGAUAUCUUAUGAACAUUUUCUUUCUAGGUUAGAAUGGUCUGAGCUUUUCUUUAUAAAUUUAUAAAGAUGCUUUCAUCCAUCAUGUAUGUAAUCUACAGAGUCUUAGUGGGAUAUUUUUCUAGCCGCUUUUUUGUAGACUCCAUAACAUUCCUUUGCACGUCAAUGAUUUUGCCG
rnacentral:lncRNA from 1 species